rnacentral:rRNA from 1 species
GGGCCCGCACAAGCGGUGGAGUAUGUGGUUUAAUUCGAUGCAACGCGAAGAACCUUACCAGGGUUUGACAUCCUGCGAAUCUCUUGGAAACGAGAGAGUGCCUUCGGGAGCGCAGUGACAGGUGGUGCAUGGCUGUCGUCAGCUCGUGUCGUGAGAUGUUGGGUUAAGUCCCGCAACGAGCGCAACCCACGUCUUUAGUUGCCAGCAUUAGUUGGGCACUCUAGAGAGACCGCCGGUGAUAAACCGGAGAAGGUGUGGAUGACGUCAAGUCAUCAUGGCCCUUACGAGUAGGGCUACACACGUGCUACAAUGGCGCAUACAGAGGGCAGCCAACUUGCGAGAGUGAGCGAAUCCCAAAAAGUGCGUCGU